UACGUAGGGGGCAAGCGUUAUCCGGAUUUACUGGGUGUAAAGGGAGCGCAGGCGGCGUGGCAAGUCAGAUGUGAAAACCCGGGGCCCAACCCCGGGAGUGCAUUUGAAACUGCCAUGCUGGAGUGCCGGAGAGGUAAGCGGAAUUCCUAGUGUAGCGGUGAAAUGCGUAGAGAUCGGGAGGAACACCAGUGGCGAAGGCGGCCUACUGGGCUCUAACUGACGCUGAGGCACGAAAGCGUGGGUAGCAAACAGG
rnacentral:rRNA from 1 species